rnacentral:rRNA from 1 species
ACUUGAAUACUAGUAGUUAUGGGCUUUAAAUUCAAAGAAUUUGGCGGUAUUUUAGUCUUGUUAGAGGAACCUGUUCUGUAAAUGAUACAACACGAAAAAUCUUACUUACUUUUGUUUAACAGCUUGUAUACCGUCAUUAUUAGAUAACCUUUGUUGAGAAAGUUAUUGAAAUUUAAGAAGUUAAAGUAUAUUAGAUCAAGGUGCAGUUUAUAAGUAAGAAGAAAUGGGUUACAAUAAAAUUUAUUUAUACGUAUCAGUAAUUGAAUAGUUUCUGUGAAGGAGGAUUUAAUUGUAACAUACAAUUUAAUAAGUUAGUGUGAUAUGAGAACUAAAGUAUGUACACAU